GCUGGCUCAGUGGUAGAGCGCUUGCCUUCCAUGCAUGAGGCAGGUUCAAUUCCUCAGCA
rnacentral:tRNA from 1 species